CGAACGGGAUCCGGACUUCGGUUCGGUGAGAGUGGCGGACGGGUGAGUAACGCGUGGGAACCUGCCCAGUGGUGGGGGAUAACUGCGGGAAACUGCAGCUAAUACCGCAUGAGCCCGAGAGGGGAAAGAUUUAUCGCCAUUGGAGGGGCCCGCGUUCGAUUAGGUAGUUGGUGAGGUAAUGGCUCACCAAGCCGACGAUCGAUAGCUGGUCUGAGAGGAUGAUCAGCCACACUGGGACUGAGAUACGGCCCAGACUCCUACGGGAGGCAGCAGUGGGGAAUAUUGGACAAUGGGGGCAACCCUGAUCCAGCAAUGCCGCGUGAGUGAUGAAGGCCUUCGGGUUGUAAAGCUCUUUUGCCAGGGACGAUGAUGACGGUACCUGGAGAAUAAGCCCCGGCUAACUUCGUGCCAGCAGCCGCGGUAAUACGAAGGGGGCAAGCGUUGUUCGGAAUUACUGGGCGUAAAGGGCGCGUAGGCGGCCGAUCAAGUCAGGCGUGAAAUUCCCGGGCUCAACCUGGGGGCUGCGCUUGAUACUGAUUGGCUUGAAUGCGGGAGAGGAUAGUGGAAUUCCCAGUGUAGAGGUGAAAUUCGUAAAUAUUGGGA
rnacentral:rRNA from 1 species